rnacentral:rRNA from 1 species
ACGAACGCUGGCGGCGUGCUUAACACAUGCAAGUCGAACGGAAAGGCCCUGCUUUUGUGGGGUGCUCGAGUGGCGAACGGGUGAGUAACACGUGAGUAACCUGCCCUUGACUUUGGGAUAACUUCAGGAAACUGGGGCUAAUACCGGAUAGGAGCUCCUGCUGCAUGGUGGGGGUUGGAAAGUUUCGGCGGUUGGGGAUGGACUUGCGGCUUAUCAGCUUGUUGGUGGGGUAGUGGCUUACCAAGGCUUUGACGGGUAGCCGGCCUGAGAGGGUGACCGGCCACAUUGGGACUGAGAUACGGCCCAGACUCCUACGGGAGGCAGCAGUGGGGAAUAUUGCACAAUGGGCGGAAGCCUGAUGCAGCAACGCCGCGUGCGGGAUGACGGCCUUCGGGUUGUAAACCGCUUUCGCCUGUGACGAAGCGUGAGUGACGGUAAUGGAUAAAGAAGCACCGGCUAACUACGUG